ACGCUGGAGCAGGAAGUCGGCCUGUGGCCCGCUAUGUUCGUGAGGGCGCGUCUCUUGGCACCCCUGUAGUCGCUAUGUUUCCCAUGCCCGUGGCAGGCCUGAGAGGUUAUGUUUGCGGGGGGUGCUUUUUUUGUAGCUUCUGUGUUCGCCAUAUUUGAAAGGGGUAGACGGCCAUGUUCGUCAUGGCCAUGAACGGCUCUUCCCUUGGUGCACCUGUGGCCGCCAUGUUUGAGCGGGGAAAGCCAGGGGUCUGUGCAGGGAUGCCGCAGGACGCGAGAACCAGCCAAGACCUAUGGCCCCUGCAGCCACCGAGGGCUCGAGAGCGCCCCCGUGGACUUGGCUGGGCCCUUCUUGGUGACAUCCAGGAAUGCGGCUGAGCGUGGGUGUUGACCUCGCUGUUUGCUGGAAUGUUUGGGUUCUUGGACCACGUCAGUGACGGCUGUGUCACCAUGGCCUCGCUGUCCCCAGGAAAACCUAACGUGCACCUCGCGCUUGUCCUCUGGGACUCCCGUCCUCCUCCUUUGUCUGACCCCCGAGAGGCUUACCGUUUCCCCAGGGCAGCCCUGGCUGUGGCCCUUGGCCCUGCUCCAGGCGGCCACGUCAGUGUCCUCCCUCAGCGCUCCCAACAGGUGGGAGGCCUCUGCGAUGGCCACCCUUGACUCCUAAACACCCCAGAAAGGGAAGAGGUUUAAGAGGAACCUUGACUCCCGCCAUUCUGCACAGUCGUGGGUCCCUCCUCCACCCAGGGCCCUCAACGGGAUUUCUGUCCACACCCCCAGCCAGCGACCCCUCCCAGUUCCUGCAGCUGGAGCGACCCUCUCUCCUGAACAUUCGGGCACCUGCGUCUCUCACCGCAGCCAGAGGGCUGGAGCAUCUUCGGUCAACUCGCCAUCCCUGCCACAGCUGGAGGCUACGUGUCCCAGAACCUACCUUGCUGGGAUGGGGGUUGGGGUGGCAGAUGCUGAACGCAUGUGAGGUCUGGGGGAGGACAAGUGGAGCUGGGAUGUGUGGGAGGUCCUGGUGGCCACCGUGAGGAUGGUCAUACCCCAUAGCUUUGUUGGUGCUGUGGCUGUAGCAGGCCCAGUGGCUCCGCCGAGCCUCCCUAGCACCAGUGCCCAGUGAAGUGUGGGCAGCUGGACAUAGGUGGCCUCAGUUCCUGGGACUCCCCCAAAGCUCUGGUUUCCCCCCUGCUUCCAGGCUUCAGGUGGAUGAGUUAGUGACCCCAACUCCAGACCUCCCUCCCCCAGCCACCCCCACAGUUGUAAAAACCCUCAUUCUCAUAUGGAACCCCUUUCCUGAAAUCCAUUGAGUGACUGCUUUUUUGAGUGAAUCUGGACUGGGCCACAUGAUGAUCGCUGCACAGAGCAGCUCAGCUCCUCUGUUUCAGCCUCCCUGACUUCACAGCAGGCUCUGGGCAUCAUCUCCGUGUCAUCCUAAGGCCACGGGCAGGGUUCCCACCAAACAGGAGAGCAGCUCUCCCGAGAGGAAGCCUUCUGAUAGCCCUAGAACCAAGAGGAACCGUGUGGGAUUGGGUGGGGUGUUUACUGUGCACUCCUGAUGUCUCCUCCCAGUGAAGGACACCCACGUGGGACAUUGUGGCCCCUGGCCCUCCCUCCCUCCCUCCCCUCGGUGGCAGAGAGAACUUCCUGGUGGGUGACAGCCCAUGGUCCACCCUUGCCGGGUGGAUUCAGGCAAAAUAUGCCAGGCUGUGUGCUGAAGGCAUCCCAUCUCUUCCUCAUCUCCUCUCGGCUGGAUCGGGGUGAGGCAGCGGGUGGUGAGUGUGUCUGUCCCACCAGCUCAGCCUCCAGCUGGUCUGCUCCGGGGCAGGAGCCCACCUGGCUCUCCUGCAGAGCUGCAUGGCCUGCCUUGCCUCACCCGUGACAACAGAGACUUUGGUUCUCCAUCUGCAGACGCAUUUGUCUUGUUUCUUAUUCGGUCCAGAACUUGGGUGGGAAGAAGGGUGAUGUUAUUUGGGUCCCCUCAAGACCUUGACAACAGAUAGUUUUUAAAAUCACAUUUUAAAGCCGCCAACUUUCUCUCCUCCACUUUGGUAUUUCCCUGAUUUUUAAACAGAAUGUCGGCUCUGGAGGCAGAAAGCCUGGGCUUGGAUCUGGGCCCUGCCACACAGUAGCUAUGUGGCCACGGAAUGCAUAGCUCCCGGGUCUCCGAUCCCUACAGUAAAGUACAGAUAAAAAUACUUUUCAUUGAUGUGUUUGAAAUUGAAUGAGAUAGUUAAUGAAUGAGUAAGUGCUCUGCAAACUCCAGAGCGGGGUGCGCGUUCUGAUCUGUUUCAUAGAAUCUGACACGUACCCUUUCCCACCCCAGCGUCUCUGAAUUGGGAUGCAUCUGACAGCAAGUGUGGCAUCCGGGCUGCAGUUGCCGUUGUCUACUCACAUGUGAAUUAAAAAAACAAUCUCAGCAUAUGAAAUCUCUAAUCGCGUGUGAACUUGGUGGUUAUUUCUGGUGCCAUGUGGAUAACUGCAGCCUCAACACCCCAGUCCACAAACCACGUACGGACCAACUGAGGAAGGAGUAGGGGUUCUUGUUGUUGCAGAAAACCCUCCCUCAACUUGUUCUAGAAGAUGCCAGCAUUCACACUUGGAGUGGGCAUCAGCAGCUUGGAAGACACAGCAGUGGGCCCCUCUUAGCAGGAGCGCCCCGUCUCAUGGCUCCUGAUGACGACCCAGAGGGUGAUGCUGCGUGGGGGCUCACGGACGUUGGCACUGUGUGUCGGGGGUGCUUAGGUGAAGGGGGCUCUGAUGGUGAGGACAUUCAGAAAUAACAGAGAUUGGACAGGUGCAGUGGCUCACACCUGUAAUCCCAGCACUUUGGGAGGGAAGCCGAGGCGGGUGGAUCACUGGAGGUCAGCCUGGCCAACAUGGUGAAACCCCGUCUCUACUAAAAAUACAAAAAUUAGCUGGGCGUGGUGGCACGUGUCUGUAAUCCCAGUUACUCGGGAGGCUGAGGCAGGAGAAUUGCUUGAACCUGGGAGGCGGAGGUUGCAUUGAGCCGAGAGUGUGCCACUGCACUCCAGCCUGGGCAACAGAGCGAGACUCUUUGUCUC
rnacentral:lncRNA from 1 species